rnacentral:rRNA from 1 species
CCUACGGGAGGCAGCAGUGGGGAAUAUUGGGCAAUGGAGGAAACUCUGACCCAGCGACGCCGCGUGAGGGAUGAAGGCCUUCGGGUUGUAAACCUCUUUCAGUAGGGAAGAAGCGAAAGUGGCGGUACCUACAGAAGAAGCACCGGCUAACUAUGUGCCAGCAGCCGCGGUAAUACAUAGGGUGCAAGCGUUGUCCGGAAUUAUUGGGCGUAAAGAGCUCGUGGUGGUUCGAUACGUCGGAUGUGAAAAUCAGGGGCUCAACCCCUGACCUGCAUUCGAUACGGUCGAGCUAGAGUGUGGUAGGGGAGACUGGAAUUCCUGGCGUAGCGGUGGAAUGCGCAGAUAUCAGGAGGAACACCGAUGGCGAAGGCAGGUCUCUGGGCCAUUACUGACACUGAGGAGCGAAAGCGUGGGGAGCGAACAGGAUUAGAUACCCUGGUAGUCCACGCCGUAAACGGUGGGCGCUAGUUGUGCGAACCUUCCACGGUUUGUGCGACGCAGCUAACGCAUUAAGCGCCCCGCCUGGGGAGUACGAUCGCAAGAUUAAAACUCAAAUGAAUUGACGG